rnacentral:rRNA from 1 species
UACGUAGGGGGCAAGCGUUGUCCGGAUUUAUUGGGCGUAAAGAGCGUGUAGGCGGCUUUACAGGUCCGUUGUGAAAACUCGAGGCUCAACCUCGAGACGCCGGUGGAAACCGUAAGGCUAGAGUCCGGAAGAGGAGAGUGGAAUUCCUGGUGUAGCGGUGAAAUGCGCAGAUAUCAGGAGGAACACCGGUGGCGAAGGCAGGUCUCUGGGCUAUAACUGACGCUCAUGCACGAAAGCGUGGGGAGCAAACAGG